AUUGAACGCUGGCGGCAUGCUUUACACAUGCAAGUCGAACGGCAGCGCGGGCUUCGGCCUGGCGGCGAGUGGCGAACGGGUGAGUAAUGCAUCGGAACGUGCCCAGGAGUGGGGGAUAGCCCGGCGAAAGCCGGAUUAAUACCGCAUACGACCUGAGGGUGAAAGCGGGGGACCGAAAGGCCUCGCGCUAUUGGAGCGGCCGAUGUCGGAUUAGCUAGUUGGUGGGGUAAAGGCUUACCAAGGCGACGAUCCGUAGCUGGUCUGAGAGGACGACCAGCCACACUGGGACUGAGACACGGCCCAGACUCCUACGGGAGGCAGCAGUGGGGAAUUUUGGACAAUGGGGGCAACCCUGAUCCAGCCAUGCCGCGUGCGGGAAGAAGGCCUUCGGGUUGUAAACCGCUUUUGUUCGGGAAGAAAUCCUCUGGGCUAAUACCCCGGGGGGAUGACGGUACCGGAAGAAUAAGCACCGGCUAACUACGUG
rnacentral:rRNA from 1 species